UACGGCCACAUCACGUUGAUACACAGGUUCCCGUACGAUCACCGAAGUCAAGCCUGGUCAGUACCUAUAUGUGUAACCGCUUGGGAAUACCAUGUGCUGUAAG